CAGGCCUAACACAUGCAAGUCGAACGGCAGCAUGGAGGAGCUUGCUCCUCUGAUGGCGAGUGGCGAACGGGUGAGUAAAGCAUCGGAACGUACCGUGUAGUGGGGGAUAACGUAGCGAAAGUUACGCUAAUACCGCAUACGCACUGAGGUGGAAAGCGGGGGAUCGUAAGACCUCGCGCUAUACGAGCGGCCGAUGUCAGAUUAGCUAGUUGGUAGGGUAAAGGCCUACCAAGGCGACGAUCUGUAGCGGGUCUGAGAGGAUGAUCCGCCACACUGGGACUGAGACACGGCCCAGACUCCUACGGGAGGCAGCAGUGGGGAAUUUUGGACAAUGGGGGCAACCCUGAUCCAGCCAUGCCGCGUGAGUGAAGAAGGCCUUCGGGUUGUAAAGCUCUUUCGGCUGGGAAGAAAUCGCACAGGCCAAUACCCUGUGUGGAUGACGGUACCAGCAUAAGAAGCACCGGCUACUCUG
rnacentral:rRNA from 1 species